AUUGAACGCUGGCGGCAGGCCUAACACAUGCAAGUCGAACGGUAACAGGAAGAAGCUUGCUUCUUUGCUGACGAGUGGCGGACGGGUGAGUAAUGUCUGGGAAACUGCCUGAUGGAGGGGGAUAACUACUGGAAACGGUAGCUAAUACCGAAUAACUUCGCAAGACCAAAGAGGGGGACUUUCGGGCCUCUUGCCAUCGGAUUUGCCCAGAUGGGAUUAGCUAGUAGGUGGGGUAACGGCUCACCUAGGCGACGAUCCCUAGCUGGUCUGAGAGGAUGACCAGCCACACUGGAACUGAGACACGGUCCAGACUCCUACGGGAGGCAGCAGUGGGGAAUAUUGCACAAUGGGCGAAAGCCUGAUGCAGCCAUGCCGCGUGUAUGAAGAAGGCCUUCGGGUCGUAAAGUACUUUCAGCGGGGAGGAAGGGAGUAAAGUUAAUACACUCACUCAUUGACGUUACCCGAAGAAGAAGCACCGGCUAACUCCGUG
rnacentral:rRNA from 1 species